rnacentral:misc_RNA from 1 species
ACAUCAGCCUUCUCAUUAAACUUACCUUCGAAAAGACAUUCAGGAUCUAGAUAUCCAGGUGUCACCUUCAAAGUUUCUAUCACUAUGUGGGUUUUACCUUCUGGAAUUGAUAUGGAUAACGAAAAAUCACUCAAUUUGGCCCUGCAGUCUUCAUCCAGCAGGAUAUUUCCGCAAUUGAUAUCUCUAUGAACAAUAGGCCUUGG